ACUUUCCUCUUGAGGUCCUGAGAGUCCUUGCCUGCCAGGGAUUUGCACAGACUCCCAAAGUGCCCAGAAAGCGCUGAAAGAGCUGUUCCUUCACUCCGUCUUCCCGAGACCUGUUCAGAGGCUGUCUGUGGAAUCCAGGGGAGACUGCACACUGAUCUCAGGCCCUCUCAUGGGACACAGGACUCCUCCAGAAGGAAACAUCCCAGGGCCCAUGUUGGCAAUAGCCAGCUUUUUGGUAGAAUUCACUGGAGACCUAGCCACCACAGCUCCAAUGAUGAUCACAGCUCCAAAGACAACCAGAGCAGCAAUGAUUACCAUGUUAGAGUCGGUGGAUGGAAGAGGCUCUGGGAAGGAUAUGAAGAGAACAAGGGAGCUGAGAGAGGGUUGUUCCUCAAACUACAUCACUUACCUGAGUGUUGCUGAGCUUCCUCCAACAAUCUGUGGAGUGUCUCCACGCAUGUGCCCUCUAGGUAGGCCUUGUAUUCCUCUGCCACUCCAGCCUCCUCCCAUUUGUGUUGAGUGAUCUGAGCCACUGCAUCUGCUGCGGUCCAGGAGCUCAGGUCCUCGUUCAGGGUGAUGUAAUCGUGGCCAUCAUAGGCAUGUUGAUAGUGCCCGUGUAGGAACUGACCAUCUGGUCCCACGUAGCAUCCGUGCAUAUCCUGGAUUGUGUGGGGACCUGGCCCGGGCAUGGACACAGUCCCGCCCAUGUUCAGGCACAGUCCUCAAACCUAAAGCAAAACUCAGGCACCCACAGCGGGUCCCAUAUCCCUUCAGUGAGUUCGUGAGGGGACAUGACCUCUGACACUCGGGGGGGUGGGGGUCACUUACCGUCCUGACUCUGGUUAUACAGGUGGAGUAGGUUGUAAAGGCAAGUUCGGAAAUUCUGGGUGUGCUCCUUGAAUUUCCGCGUCUCCUGCUCCCAAUAUUCGGGCUCCAUCUGUUCCACCCAUGGCUUGCAUGGCUCGGCCCUGGGAUUCUCAGAGUCGCUGUCGAAGCGCAUGAACUGUGUGUCGUCCACGUAACCCACGGCGGUGAACCGAGGCUCCCCGAAGCCUGGCCUGGAUAUGGCAGUGGCGAAAUACCGCAGCGAGUGUGAGCCUAGGGGAGGAGCGACAUGAGACCCCGACCUCCUCUUGGGACCCUGGGAGGGUGCGCAGACCUGGAGAUGAGCAGGCCUGGGGCUCUGAGAAAAGGCGGAGACAGGACAACUCGCUUCCCAAGUGCCACCAAGAACCUCCCCACAAAGGCCCUUUCCCUCGCGACCCCCACUCACUCUUGCCCGCUUGGGUCGGGGCCAGGGCGGUCGCCAGAAGCAGGAGAAGUAGAGGGCAACUCGUAAGGGUCCCCAUCCUGGGAUAGAGAGAGCUCAGUACAGUGAUAUAAAUCCUGGACUUGGUAACUUGCAAUCACAGCUACUUUUCCUUUUCUAGGGACCUCCUCUCAAUGGGCAUGGGAGGUGCUGCUGCAAAAAACUAUUCCCAGGCAGGAAAACUGCCAAUGACAGCAAGAACAAGAUGUGAAACCAACUCAAGCCCUGCCCUCAGCCCAGCUCUCAGCCCCGCCCUCCUCAGCCCUCUACUUAUAAAGCCACUUCUGAGGACUUGGGACUUUGUCCUGACUCCCCCUUCUGCAC
rnacentral:lncRNA from 1 species